CUACAUAAGAUCGCCCUUUUAAAUAAAUGCGGAUGGGCCACAACAAAUGAGUAAUAACUUGUAAGAUUCGGGGAAUCCGAAACGAGUUCAUCGGGUAAAACAAAAUGGCGCACUGGUGCGUUGGUGUGUGGCGUGAUGUGCUCAACCCACUUAGAUUCAUUUGUUGGGCGUUGUUGAACGCGAAUGUUUUUUGGAUGAAUCAUCUGUGUGUGUGUGUGUGGUGCUCGUAUAACCUGCGACCUUUCAACCGCCUACACCAUCUUCUUCUCCCUUUGGGAGGGAUCGGAUUGAAUGACGUCCGGGCCCACAGCAUUCGCUUCUCUCUUCGUUCCUGGAACCGAUUCUGUGACGCGAUCCUGCGACUCACGCAGAGUCAGGAAAAUGCUGCUGGCCGAACGUUAUAAAUGUAUCUGCUGAAAUGUCUAAUAUAACAAAAAUGCCAAAAUUCUAAAUGUGUAGGAGAAUGUCGUUUGUUGAUAAUUGAGGUUCGCGGAAGAGUAUCUCUGCUCCCCCAACGAAAAUUUAUUAAAACUACUGGAAUCGAAUCCGCUGCAGCGUGUGUAAAUUAUGGAUCGGCGUUGGGCGGCAGCCCGGGUCACUACGCUGAUGAUGUCGGAAAUAUUUAAAAAACCCUUUGAAUUUUGUACAUGCACGCGUUUGGAAGCUCGUCUUUUCCGUUUUUCCCGGAAUGAAAUACAAGGCCGUUUCAAUUC